rnacentral:lncRNA from 1 species
AGGAAAUCGCAAUUCAUUUUAAAAAAUAAAAUCUUUCUCGUUCAUUGCCCCUUGAAUUUUUUUCAUCUUCCUCAUUUUUUUUUUUUUUCUCUCUGCGAAUUUUCUGAUGGAGUGUUUCAAGAACAGCAGGGAUUUCUCUGACGGGAGCAACCAUGAUGGAGAUAAAAGAAUUAAUUGAGAGAGAAUCAUUUAGCAGCCUAACAAACUUGCUGGAGAAACAGAAGUCCCAAAUUAAAGCGAAGGAUGCCGAGAAGAAGAAGAAGGUCCCGAAGAAAAUCAAGAAGGUUCUCACGAUCGAAGAGGACCUCCCCCCGUUGCCACCCAUCCAGUGGAAGCCGAGCAUCUUCUCCACGCAGCUCUCCCUGAUGCCCCUCCUUGCCGGAGAGCAAGCUGUCGUGAGCCGCAGUAGCGAGAAGUCUGCCAACAUCUUAGAGUGCAUGCUGACUCUGAAGACCGAGGUCCCCAUCAUGACGGAAGAGCAGAAGCAGGACUUGAACCCCCUGACCAUAAAGAUCAAGUGUGCCUCCUGCCUCCCAUCCCAGCCCGUGCCCAUCCAGGAGCUGAAGCGGCUGUGCGUGCCCGUCUACUGCAAGUACCAGUUCCACGCCACACCCGUGCACCGCACCGAGGGCCAGCCCCACGCGUCCCACGUGCACUUCCAGGACAUCAACGUCAUCUUCCUGGGGGCCGUGUCCCCCCGCGACCUCCGGGAGUACCUGGAGGGACCCCCUCUUCUGGUGGAGGUCCACGACCGGGACCGGCGCUCGGAGGAAUGCUCCCGGAAGCCCGCCCUGUUCGGGGACGACCCCCUGGACCCCUACCUCAACAGCCAGAGGCUGGCCUCCACCCGGGAGACCGAGGCCAACCCCUUCCAGUCCCAGGACGCCAUGUGGGACCCCUACGGGGUAGCCCGGGUCAGCCUGGCGGACCUCCUGCUUGGCCACCGCUACCUGAACCUGGCCGUGCCCAUCCACACCUGCGAGGCGGGCCCCCCUCCCGGCACGGGGGGAGGCGGGGAGGCCGGGCGAGGCCGGAGGCUGCCCCCGGACGGCGCCCACCACGGCCCCAUGCCCCCCGGCCACUACAU